rnacentral:rRNA from 1 species
AACGAACGCUGGCGGCAUGCCUAACACAUGCAAGUCGAACGAAGCCUUCGGGCUUAGUGGCGCACGGGUGCGUAACGCGUGGGAAUCUGCCCCUUGCUUCGGAAUAACAGUUAGAAAUGACUGCUAAUACCGGAUGAAGUCUUCGGACCAAAGAUUUAUCGGCAAGGGAUGAGCCCGCGUAGGAUUAGGUAGUUGGUGGGGUAAAGGCCUACCAAGCCGACGAUCCUUAGCUGGUCUGAGAGGAUGAUCAGCCACACUGGGACUGAGACGCGGCGCAGACUCCUACGGGAGGCAGCAGUGGGGAAUAUUGGACUAUGGAGGCAAGUCUGAUCCAGCAAGGCCGCGUGAGUGAUGAAGGCCGUAGGGUUGUAAAGCUCUUUUACCAGGGAUGAUAAUGACAGUACCUGGAGAAUAAGCUCCGGCUAACUCCGUG